rnacentral:rRNA from 1 species
UACGGAAGGCAGCAGUGGGGAAUAUUGCACAAUGGGCGAAAGCCUGAUGCAGCUAUGCCGCGUGUAUGAAGAAGGCCUUAGGGUUGUAAAGUACUUUCAUCGGGGAGGAAAAAACAAAACUAAUAAUUUUAUUUCUUGACGUUACCCGAAAAAGAAGCACCGGCUAACUCCGUGCCAGCAGCCGCGGUAAUACGGAGGGUGCUAGCGUUAAUCAGAAUUACUGGGCGUAAAGAGCACGUAGGUGGUUUUUUUAAGUCAGAUGUGAAAUCCCUGGGCUUAACCUAGGAACUGCAUUUUGAAACUGAAAUACUAGAGUAUCGUAGAGGGAGGUAGAAUUCUAGGUGUAGCGGUGAAAUGCGUAGAUAUCUGGAGGAAUACCUGUGGCGAAAGCGGCCUCCUAAACGAAUACUGACACUGAGGUGCGAAAAGCGUGGGGAAGCAAACAGGGAUUAGAUACC